rnacentral:rRNA from 1 species
UGGGGAAUAUUGCGCAAUGGGGGAAACCCUGACGCAGCAACGCCGCGUGAAGGAUGAAGGCUUUCGGGUUGUAAACUUCUUUGAUCGGGGACGAAAAUGACGGUACCCGAGGAACAAGCCACGGCUAACUACGUGCCAGCAGCCGCGGUAAUACGUAGGUGGCAAGCGUUGUCCGGAAUUACUGGGUGUAAAGGGCGUGUAGGCGGGACGGCAAGUCAGAUGUGAAAUACCUCGGCUUAACUGGGGUGCUGCAACUGAAACUGUCGUUCUUGAGUGUCGGAGAGGAAAGUGGAAUUCCCAGUGUAGCGGUGAAAUGCGUAGAGAUUGGGAGGAACACCAGUGGCGAAGGCGGCUUUCUGGACGAUAACUGACGCUGAGGCGCGAAAGCGUGGGUAGCAAACAGG